UUGGUUCACUUGAUGCUGUAGCAACAGCUAAUACGGAAGUAUCGCCAUAAUGAACCAUACAAGCUCCAUUUGCUUGUUUCGCCAGUUCUCCUACUUCAACGGUAAAUUUUUUACCCGAAAUUUCAGUGGAGAAAACAUAUUUUUCAUCUGUCAUUUCAUAUAGUACUCCUUUCAUUGCUCAUUCUACCUUCAUUUUAUAGUUUAUAAACAUAAAUGUAAAUUUUAUCCCCUAUUAAAGGUUGUUCAAAAAAGUCUGAUGAAAAUAACA
rnacentral:antisense_RNA from 1 species